rnacentral:ncRNA from 1 species
AUUUCAGUAAGAAAAACCAUAUAUUUCUGGUAAUACGGUCCGGAAGUUUCUACAAAUCACCCUCAAAGUGAUUUACUAUGGCAAAGG